rnacentral:rRNA from 1 species
CUGAAGAGUUUGAUCCUGGCUCAGAUUGAACGCUGGCGGCAUGCUUUACACAUGCAAGUCGAACGGCAGCACGGGCUUCGGUCUGGUGGCGAGUGGCGAACGGGUGAGUAAUAUAUCGGAACGUACCCAGAAGUGGGGGAUAACGUAGCGAAAGUUACGCUAAUACCGCAUACGAUCUACGGAUGAAAGUGGGGGACCUUCGGGCCUCAUGCUUUUGGAGCGGCCGAUAUCUGAUUAGCUAGUUGGUGAGGUAAAGGCUCACCAAGGCGACGAUCAGUAGCUGGUCUGAGAGGACGACCAGCCACACUGGAACUGAGACACGGUCCAGACUCCUACG